rnacentral:rRNA from 1 species
UGGGGAAUCUUGCGCAAUGGGCGAAAGCCUGACGCAGCGACGCCGCGUGAGGGAAGAAGGCCUUCGGGUUGUAAACCUCUUUCAGGAGGGACGAAGCCACUCGGGUUAAUAGCCCAGAGGGUGACGGUACCUCCAGAAGAAGCCCCGGCUAACUACGUGCCAGCAGCCGCGGUAAUACGUAGGGGGCUAGCGUUGUCCGGAUUUAUUGGGCGUAAAGAGCGUGUAGGCGGCCAGGUAGGUCUGCUGUGAAAACUCGAGGCUCAACCUCGAGACGUCGGCGGAAACCAUCUGGCUAGAGUCCGGAAGAGGAGAGUGGAAUUACUGGUGUAGCGGUGAAAUGCGCAGAUAUCAGGAAGAACACCCGUGGCGAAGGCGGCUCUCUGGGACGGUACUGACGCUGAGACGCGAAAGCGUGGGGAGCGAACAGGAUUAGAUACC